rnacentral:rRNA from 1 species
ACUCAAAUGAAUUGACGGGGGCCCGCACAAGCGGCGGAGCAUGUGGCUUAAUUCGACGCAACGCGAAGAACCUUACCUGGGUUUGACAUGCAGGGAAAUCCCAUAGAGAUAUGGGGUCCGCAAGGGUCCUGCACAGGUGGUGCAUGGCUGUCGUCAGCUCGUGUCGUGAGAUGUUGGGUUAAGUCCCGCAACGAGCGCAACCCUCGUCCUAUGUUGCCAGCGGAUUAUGCCGGGGACUCAUAGGAGACUGCCGGGGUCAACUCGGAGGAAGGUGGGGACGACGUCAAGUCAUCAUGCCCCUUAUGUCCAGGGCUGCACACAUGCUACAAUGGCUGGUACAAAGGGCAGCUAAAUCGCAAGAUGGAGCGAAUCCCAAAAAGCCAGUCUCAGUUCGGAUUGGGGUCUGCAACUCGACCCCAUGAAGUCGGAGUCGCUAGUAAUCGCAGAUCAGCAACGCUGCGGUGAAUACGUUCCCGGGCCUUGUACACACCGCCCGU